UAAAGGAGACCUACCCACUCAGAUAUCGAAAACAACAAGUAAUUAGAUAUUGAGUUGGUCAUCCUAAAGGUCGGUCGCGACAAUUGUUAUUUGCUUUCAAACUAUAUUUUGGUUCUUUUGGGCUAUUAGCUCAGGUGGUUAGAGCGCACCCCUGAUAAGGGUGAGGUCCCUGGUUCGAGUCCAGGAUGGCCCACCUGAAAACAGUGGUCAGAGAAAAAGCUGGUAACUGUUAACUCAAUUCUGGUAACUGAAUUCUGGGGGUUUAGCUCAGUUGGUAGAGCGCCUGCUUUGCAAGCAGGAUGUCAGCGGUUCGAGUCCGCUAACCUCCACCAGAAGUAGAUGUGAAAAAUUCAGCAACUGAGCAUUAUUAGCCAGACUGCUGGAUAUAUUUCCAGUGAUAGAACCUUGAAAACUGCAUAGUCAGGAGAAUAAAACAGCAGACACAGACGCAAAUAGAGUCAGUGUUUGCCAUGAUAUUUAGCAAUUGUAUUUU
rnacentral:tRNA from 1 species